rnacentral:rRNA from 1 species
AGAGAUAGAAAGUUACUUCGGUACACCGGUGACAGGUGGUGCAUGGUUGUCGUCAGCCCGUGUCGUGAGAUGUUGGGUUAAGUCCCGCAACGAGCGCAACCCCUAUUGUUAGUUGCCAUCAUUCAGUUGGGCACUCUAGCGAGACUGCCGGUAAUAAACCGGAGGAAGGUGGGAUGACGUCAAAUCAUCAUGCCCCUUAUGACCUGGGCUACACACGUGCUACAAUGGUUGGUACAACGAGUUGCGAGUCGGUGACGGCGAGCUAAUCUCUUAAAGCCAAUCUCAGUUCGGAUUGUAGGCUGCAACUCGCCUACAUGAAGUCGGAAUCGCUAGUAAUCGCGGAUCAGCACGCCGCGGUGAAUACGUUCCCGGGCCUU